rnacentral:miRNA from 1 species
GAGCUCCUUGAAGUCCAAUUG